UAAGCAUAUCAAUAAGCGGAGGAAAAGAAACUAACAAGGAUUCCCCUAGUAACUGCGAGUGAAGCGGGAAAAGCUCAAAUUUAAAAUCUGGCAGUCUUUGAUUGUCCGAGUUGUAGUCUGGAGAAGCGUCUUCCGCGCUGGACCGUGUACAAGUCUCCUGGAACGGAGCGUCAUAGAGGGUGAGAAUCCCGUCUUUGACACGGACUACCAGUGCUUUGUGAUGCGCUCUCAACGAGUCGAGUUGUUUGGGAAUGCAGCUCAAAAUGGGUGGUAUACUCCAUCUAAAGCUAAAUAUUGGCGAGAGACCGAUAGCGAACAAGUACCGUGAGGGAAAGAUGAAAAGCACUUUGGAAAGAGAGUUAAACAGUACGUGAAAUUGCUGAAAGGGAAACGCUUGAAGUCAGUCGCGUUUGCUAGAACUCAGCCUUACCUCGGUUUGGUGCAUUUUCUAGUAGACGGGCCAGCAUCACUUUUGGCUGCGGGAUAAAGGUUUCAGGAAUGUGGCACCUUCGGGUGUGUUAUAGCCUGGGAUUGUAUACCGUGGCUGGGAGUGAGGACCGCAGCACGCCUUUAUGGCCGGGGUUCGCCCACGUUCGUGCUUAGGAUGCUGGCGUAAUGGCUUUAAACGACCCG
rnacentral:rRNA from 1 species